AGUGAACGUUGGCGGCGUGGAUUAGGCAUGCAAGUCGAGCGAGAACCCCGCAAGGGGGGACAGCGGCAAACGGGGUAGUAAUGUGUCGGAACGUGCCCUCAGGUCGGGGAUAGCGGCGGGAAACUGCCGGUAAUACCCGAUGACCUCGAGAGAGCAAAGGUGUGACUCCGCCGGAGGAGCGGCCGACAUGGUAUUAGCUAGUUGGUGAGGUAACGGCCCACCAAGGCGAUGAUGCCUAGGGGAUGUGAGAGCAUGAUCCCCACCAUUGGGACUGAGAAACUGCCCAGACACCUACGGGUGGCUGCAGUCGAGAAUCUUCGUCAAUGGGCGAAAGCCUGAACGAGCGACGCCGCGUGCGGGAUGAAGGCCCUUGGGUUGUAAACCGCUGUCGAGGGGGAUGAAGGCAUUCAGGUACUCCUGAAUGUUUGACAGAGCCCUGGAGGAAGCACGGGCUAAGUUCGUGCCAGCAGCCGCAGUAAUAC
rnacentral:rRNA from 1 species